GACGAACGCUGGCGGCGUGGAUUAGGCAUGCAAGUCGGACGGUAGGGCUUUAUCGUAAGAUAGAGUUUGAGAGUGGCGAACGGGUGAGUAACACGUAGGAAUCUACCCUUAAGACGGGGACAACCCAGGGAAACUUGGGCUAAUACCGGAUGAGAGUGCGAGAGAUUGCAUUUAAAAGGAUGGCGAAAGUUGUCGCUUAGGGAUGAGCCUGCGGUCUAUUAGUUAGCUGGUGAGGUAAGAGCUCACCAAGGCGAUGAUAGAUAGGCGGCCUUAACGGGUGGUCGCCCACACUGGGAUUGAGAUACGGCCCAGACUCCUACGGGAGGCGGCAGUCGAGAAUAGUCUACAAUGGCCGGAAGGCUGAUAGUGCGACGCCGCGUGAACGAGGGAGCCCUUCGGGUGUAAAGUUCUUUUCUAUACGAGCAGUGCUAUAUAUAUGGAUAGUAUAUAUAGAGGGAUAGUAGUAUAGGAAUAAGCAACGGCUAACUCCGUGCCAGCAGCC
rnacentral:rRNA from 1 species